rnacentral:rRNA from 1 species
UACGGAGGGGACUAGCGUUGUUCGGAAUUACUGGGCGUAAAGCGCACGUAGGCGGAUUUGUAAGUCAGGGGUGAAAUCCCGGGGCUCAACCUCGGAACUGCCUUUGAUACUGCAAAUCUCGAGUCCGGAAGAGGUGAGUGGAAUUCCUAGUGUAGAGGUGAAAUUCGUAGAUAUUAGGAAGAACACCAGUGGCGAAGGCGGCUCACUGGUCCGGUACUGACACUGAGGCACGAAAGCGUGGGGAGCAAACAGG